rnacentral:rRNA from 1 species
GACGAACGCUGGCGGCGUGCUUAACACAUGCAAGUCGAACGCUGAAGCUUGGUGCUUGCACUGGGUGGAUGAGUGGCGAACGGGUGAGUAAUACGUGAGUAACCUGCCCUUGACUCUGGGAUAAGCCUGGGAAACUGGGUCUAAUACUGGAUAUGACAUGCCACUGCAUGGUGGUGUGUGGAAAGGGUUUUACUGGUUUUGGAUGGGCUCACGGCCUAUCAGCUUGUUGGUGGGGUAAUGGCCUACCAAGGCGACGACGGGAAGCCGGCCUGAGAGGGUGACCGGCCACACUGGGACUGAGACACGGCCCAGACUCCUACGGGAGGCAGCAGUGGGGAAUAUUGCACAAUGGGCGGAAGCCUGAUGCAGCGACGCCGCGUGAGGGAUGACGGCCUUCGGGUUGUAAACCUCUUUCAGCACGGAAGAAGCGAGAGUGACGGUACGUGCAGAAGAAGCGCCGGCUAACUACGUG